GUCAGGAUGGCCGAGUGGUCUAAGGCGCCAGACUCAAGGCACGGCCUUCCCCCGGGGUGUUCUGGUCUCCGUAUGGAGGCGUGGGUUCAAAUCCCACUUCUGACA
rnacentral:tRNA from 1 species